ACGAACGCUGGCGGCGUGCUUAAUACCUGCAAGUCGAACGGAAAGGCCCUGCUUUUGUGGGGUGCUCGAGUGGCGAACGGGUGAGUAACACGUGAGUAACCUGCCCUUGACUUUGGGAUAACUUCAGGAAACUGGGGCUAAUACCGGAUAGGAGCUCCUGCUGCAUGGUGGGGGUUGGAAAGUUUCGGCGGUUGGGGAUGGACUCGCGGCUUAUCAGCUUGUUGGUGGGGUAGUGGCUUACCAAGGCUUUGACGGGUAGCCGGCCUGAGAGGGUGACCGGCCACAUUGGGACUGAGAUACGGCCCAGACUCCUACGGGAGGCAGCAGUGGGGAAUAUUGCACAAUGGGCGGAAGCCUGAUGCAGCAACGCCGCGUGCGGGAUGACGGCCUUCGGGUUGUAAACCGCUUUCGCCUGUGACGAAGCGUGAGUGACGGUAAUGGGUAAAGAAGCACCGGCUAACUACGUG
rnacentral:rRNA from 1 species